rnacentral:rRNA from 1 species
CGUCAAAGCUUUAUUAGUCGCAUAACAAAUCCCUAAAACAUUAAAGAACCCUACACUAGUACUGAAUGAUCCUAUACCACUAUAAGACCCUCUAUGUUAAAACUAGUAAUAAGAAACCACUUCUCUUACAAUGCAAGUGUAAAUCAUAACGGAACACCCACUGAUAACUAACAGCCAUAAACUAAAGUAAUACCAAACAAGAAAACUCUACUUAAUUAACUGUUAACCUUACACAAGUGCACCUAAAGAAAGAUUAAAAGAAAAGGAAGGAACUCGGCAAAUACUGAUUCCGCCUGUUUACCAAAAACAUCGCCUCUUGAUAACAUAUAAGAGGUCCAGCCUGCCCAGUGACCUAGUUCAACGGCCACGGUAUCCUAACCGUGCGAAGGUAGCAUAAUCACCUGUUUUUUAAUUGAAGACCAGUAUGAAAGGCACCACGAGAAUCCCGCUGUCUCCCUUGUCUAAUCAAUGAAACUAAUCCCCCCGUGAAAAAGCGGGGAUACUUUUACAAGACGAGAAGACCCUUUGGAGCUUAAGACAAUAGUACAAUUAUCGCUUAUUUACCUCUUACCUACCCCUAACAGCAUUUAUUUACAAGUCUUUGGUUGGGGCAACCCCGGAGUAAAAGACAACCUCCUAGAUGAAAAGAAACCUCUUAAACAAAAAGUUACAACUUUAUGUAUCAACAAAAUGACAUCAAUUGACCCAAUAUUUUGAUUAACGAACCAAGUUACCCCAGGGAUAACAGCGCAAUCCGCCUCAAGAGUUCAUAUCGACAGGUGGGCUUACGACCUCG